rnacentral:rRNA from 1 species
GUACCUAGUAAUGGGGGAUAACACAGCGAAAGCUGUGCUAAUACCGCAUACGCCCUGAGGGGGAAAGCGGGGGACUCGUAAGGGCCUCGCGUUAUUGGAGCGGCCGAUAUCGGAUUAGCUAGUUGGUGAGGUAAAGGCUCACCAAGGCGACGAUCCGUAGCUGGUCUGAGAGGACGACCAGCCACACUGGAACUGAGACACGGUCCAGACUCCUACGGGAGGCAGCAGUGGGGAAUUUUGGACAAUGGGGGCAACCCUGAUCCAGCCAUUCCGCGUGAGUGAAGAAGGCCUUCGGGUUGUAAAGCUCCUUCAGCAGGAACGAAACGGUAGGCUUUAAUAAAGUUUGCUAAUGACGGUACCUGAAGAAGAAGCACCGGCUAACUACGUGCCAGCAGCCGCGGUAAUACGUAGGGUGCGAGCGUUAAUCGGAAUUACUGGGCGUAAAGCGUGCGCAGGCGGCUUUGUAAGACAGAUGUGAAAUCCCCGGGCUUAACCUGGGAACUGCGUUUGUGACUGCCACACUAGAGUGUGGCAGACGGGGGUAGAAUUCCACGUGUAGCAGUGAAAUGCGUAGAGAUGCCGACGAAUAUCGAUGGCCAACGCAGCCCCC